GGGCUGGCCGUAGCUCAGCGGUUCCUUCGGCUACAUCAUAAUUAAAUCACCCUCUUUCUGAGGGUGGUUCGAGACCCGCGGGCGCUCUCCAGUCCUUUU
rnacentral:vault_RNA from 1 species